AGCGAAACGGGAAGAGCCCAAACCAACAAGCUUGCUUGUUGGGGUUGUAGGACACUCUAUACGGAGUUACAAAGGACGACAUUAGACGAAUCAUCUGGAAAGAUGAAUCAAAGAAGGUAAUAAUCCUGUAGUCGAAAAUGUUGUCUCUCUUGAGUGGAUCCUGAGUACGACGGAGCACGUGAAAUUCCGUCGGAAUCUGGGAGGACCAUCUCCUAAGGCUAAAUACUCUCUAGUGACCGAUAGUGAACCAGUACCGUGAGGGAAAGGUGAAAAGCACCCCGGAAGGGGAGUGAAAUAGAACCUGAAACCGUGUGCUUACAAGUAGUCAGAGCCCGUUAAUGGGUGAUGGCGUGCCUUUUGUAGAAUGAACCGGCGAGUUACGAUUUGAUGCAAGGUUAAGCAGUAAAUGUGGAGCCGUAGCGAAAGCGAGUCUGAAUAG
rnacentral:rRNA from 1 species